rnacentral:rRNA from 1 species
GGAUAACUGAUGGAAACGUCAGCUAAGACCGCAUAGGUGUAGAGAUCGCAUGAACUCUAUAUGAAAAGUGCUACGGGACUGGUAGAUGAUGGACUUAUGGCGCAUUAGCUGGUUGGUAGGGUAACGGCCUACCAAGGCGACGAUGCGUAGCCGACCUGAGAGGGUGACCGGCCACACUGGGACUGAGACACGGCCCAGACUCCUACGGGAGGCAGCAGUAGGGAAUUUUCGGCAAUGGGGGAAACCCUGACCGAGCAACGCCGCGUGAAGGAAGAAGUAAUUCGUUAUGUAAACUUCUGUCAUAGAGGAAGAACGGUGGAUAUAGGGAAUGAUAUCCAAGUGACGGUACUCUAUAAGAAAGCCACGGCUAACUACGUGCCAGCAGCCGCGGUAAUACGUAGGUGGCGAGCGUUAUCCGGAAUUAUUGGGCGUAAAGAGGGAGCAGGCGGCACUAAGGGUCUGUGGUGAAAGAUCGAAGCUUAACUUCGGUAAGCCAUGGAAACCGUAGAGCUAGAGUGUGUGAGAGGAUCGUGGAAUUCCAUGUGUAGCGGUGAAAUGCGUAGAUAUAUGGAGGAACACCAGUGGCGAAGGCGACGAUCUGGCGCAUAACUGACGCUCAGUCCCGAAAGCGUGGGGAGCAAAUAGGAUUAGAUACCCUAGUAGUCCACGCCGUAAACGAUGAGUACUAAGUGUUGGGGGUCAAAGCUCAGUGCUGCAG